GACGAACGCGGGCGGAGGGAAGAAGAAAGGCAACUUGAGCGAUGAAGGUUGGUACUUGUACCGACUGGAUGAGCAGCGAACGGGUGAGUAACGCGUGGGGAAUCUGCCUUUGAGCGGGGGACAACAUUUGGAAACGAAUGCUAAUACCGCAUAAAAACUUUAAACACAAGUUUUAAGUUUGAAAGAUGCAAUUGCAUCACUCAAAGAUGAUCCCGCGUUGUAUUAGCUAGUUGGUGAGGUAAAGGCUCACCAAGGCGAUGAUACAUAGCCGACCUGAGAGGGUGGUGCGCCACAUUGGGACUGAGACACGGCCCAAACUCCUACGGGAGGCAGCAGUAGGGAAUCUUCGGCAAUGGACGAAAGUCUGACCGAGCAACGCCGCGUGAGUGAAGAAGGUUUUCGGAUCGUAAAGUUCGGGUGGUAGAGAAGAACGUUGGUGAGAGUGGAAAGCUCAUCAAGUGACGGUAACUACCCAGAAAGGGACGGCUUCCUACGUC
rnacentral:rRNA from 1 species